rnacentral:rRNA from 1 species
GAUGAACGCCGGCGGCGUGCUUAACACAUGCAAGUCGAACGAAGCUGCUUAAAGGAAGUCUUCGGAUGGAAUUUAGGUAGACUUAGUGGCGGACGGGUGAGUAACGCGUGGAUAACCUGCCUUAUGCAGGGGGAUAACGGAGAGAAAUUUCCGCUAACACCGCAUAAGACCACAGCACCGCAUGGUGCAGGGGUAAAAUAUUUAUAGGUAUAAGAUGGAUCCGCGUCCGAUUAGCUAGUUGGUGAGGUAAAGGCCCACCAAGGCGACGAUCGGUAGCCGGCCUGAGAGGGUGAUCGGCCACAUUGGAACUGAGACACGGUCCAAACUCCUACGGGAGGCAGCAGUGGGGAAUAUUGCACAAUGGGCGAAAGCCUGAUGCAGCAACGCCGCGUAAACGAUGAAGGUCUUCGGAUCGUAAAGUUCUGUUGCAGGGGAAGAUAAUGACGGUACCCUGUGAGGAAGCCCCGGCUAACUACGUGCCAGCAGCCGCGGUAAUACGUAGGGGGCAAGCGUUAUCCGGAUUUACUGGGUGUAAAGGGAGCGCAGACGGCAAUGCAAGUCUGAAGUGAAAGGCGUGGGCUCAACCCAUGAACUGCUUUGGAAACUGUAUAGCUUGAGUGUCGGAGGGGUAAGCGGAAUUCCUAGUGUAGCGGUGAAAUGCGUAGAUAUUAGGAAGAACACCGGUGGCGAAGGCGGGUCUCUGGGCCGUUACUGACGCUGAGGAGCGAAAGCGUGGGGAGCGAACAGG